GAUGAACGCUAGCGGCAGGCUUAACACAUGCAAGUCGAGGGGCAACACGGGUAGCAAUACCUGGUGGCGACCGGCGCAAGGGUGCGUAACGCGUGAGCAACAUGCCCUAUACAGGGGGGAUAAUCCAGGGAAACUUGGUCUAAUAUCCCAUAGUAUUUAGAGGUGGCAUCACCACUAAAUUAAAGCUUCGGUGGUAUAGGAUUGGCUCGCGUGACAUUAGCUGGAUGGUGGGGUAACGGCUCACCAUGGCGAUGAUGUCUAGGGGUUCUGAGAGGAAGACCCCCCACACUGGGACUGAGACACGGCCCAGACUCCUACGGGAGGCAGCAGUGAGGAAUAUUGGACAAUGGAUGGAAAUCUGAUCCAGCCAUGCCGCGUGCAGGAAGACGGCCCUAUGGGUUGUAAACUGCUUUUAUAUGGGAGCAAUAAGGUUUACGCGUAGACCGAUGAGAGUACCAUAUGAAUAAGCAUCGGCUAACUCCGUCG
rnacentral:rRNA from 1 species